rnacentral:rRNA from 1 species
CCGCCCAAGAGUUCAUAUCGACGGCGGUGUUUGGCACCUCGAUGUCGGCUCAUCACAUCCUGGGGCUGAAGCGGGUCCCAAGGGUAUGGCUGUUCGCCAUUUAAAGUGGUACGCGAGCUGGGUUUAGAACGUCGUGAGACAGUUCGGUCCCUAUCUGCCGNGUGGACGUUUGAGAUUUGAGAGGGGCUGCUCCUAGUACGAGAGGACCGGAGUGGACGAACCUCUGGUGUUCCGGUUGUCACGCCAGUGGCAUUGCCGGGUAGCUAUGUUCGGAAAAGAUAACCGCUGAAAGCAUCUAAGCGGGAAACUUGCCUCAAGAUGAGAUCUCACUGGAACCUU